CGUCCGGAGGCCUGGCGUCUCCGCUGGAGCGUGGGUCUGGGACUCCCGUCCUCCCCGGCACGACCUCAGGACUACCCCCAGGGACCCCAGCGGCCAGGCGGCUCUUGGCGUCUCGUCUCUCCUACCGCUGACCCCGCUGCCUUGGGGUGCAGUGUAGGGGUCCAGAGCCAUGUCGGACCUGUUACUGCUGGGCCUGACCCUGUUACUGAUGCUGCUACUGCUGGUCUUUGCCGGGUACUCAGGGCUGUUGGCUGGGGUGGCAGUGACUGGGUGGCUUUUCACCAGAGCUGCAGCAUCUCCCCCAGACUCUGCUCCAUCGCUGUCCACUAGGAAAACCUCGCAUGAGUCAUGAUAAAAUACCUGCUUCGGACGGGCACGGUGGCUCACACUUGUAAUCCCAUCACUUUGGGAGGCCAAGGCAGGCAGAUCACCUGAGAUCAGGAGUUUGAGACCAGCCUGGCCAACAUGAUGAAAC